rnacentral:rRNA from 1 species
AUUGAACGCUGGCGGCAGGCCUAACACAUGCAAGUCGAGCGGAUGAAGGGAGCUUGCUCCUGGAUUCAGCGGCGGACGGGUGAGUAAUGCCUAGGAAUCUGCCUGGUAGUGGGGGAUAACGUCCGGAAACGGGCGCUAAUACCGCAUACGUCCUGAGGGAGAAAGUGGGGGAUCUUCGGACCUCACGCUAUCAGAUGAGCCUAGGUCGGAUCAGAUAGUUGGUGGGGUAAAGGCCUACCAAGGCGACGAUCCGUAACUGGUCUGAGAGGAUGAUCAGUCACACUGGAACUGAGACACGGUCCAGACUCCUACGGGAGGCAGCAGUGGGGAAUAUUGGACAAUGGGCGAAAGCCUGAUCCAGCCAUGCCGCGUGUGUGAAGAAGGUCUUCGGAUUGUAAAGCACUUUAAGUUGGGAGGAAGGGCAGUAAGUUAAUACCUUGCUGUUUUGACGUUACCAACAGAAUAAGCACCGGCUAACUUCGUG